rnacentral:rRNA from 1 species
GUCCCGGCCCUAAACGGUGCGCAUUUGCUGUGAGCGGAAUCGACCCCGCUCGUGGCGGAGCUAACGCGUUAAAUGCGCCGCCUGGGGAGUACGGCCGCAAGGUUAAAACUCAAAGAAAUUGACGGGGGCCUGCACAAGCGGUGGAGUAUGUGGCUUAAUUCGAUGCAACGCGAAGAACCUUACCUGGCCUUGACAUGCAGAUAGUAGAAGCCUGAAAGGGUGACGAUUCCGCAAGGAAAGUUUGCACAGGUGCUGCAUGGCUGUCGU